GGUAACUAGCAUAUCAAUAAGCGGAGGAAAAGAAACCAACAGGGAUUGCCUCAGUAACUGCGAGUGAAGCGGCAAGAGCUCAAAUUUGAAAUCUGGUACCUUUGGGUGCCCGAGUUGUAAUUUGGAGAGGCAACUUCGAGGGAGGCGCUGGCCUAAGUUCCUUGGAACAGGACGUCACAGAGGGUGAGAAUCCCGUGCUUGGCUGGCUGUCCUCCUUCAUGUGAAGUGUCUUCGACGAGUCGAGUUGUUUGGGAAUGCAGCUCAAAAUGGGUGGUAAACUCCAUCUAAGGCUAAAUAUUGGCGAGAGACCGAUAGCGCACAAGUAGAGUGAUCGAAAGAUGAAAAGCACUUUGAAAAGAGAGUUAAAAAGUACGUGAAAUUGUUGAAAGGGAAACGCUUGAGACCAGACUCGGUGAUUGGUGAUCAGCGGUUGCUUUUGCUCCGUGCACUUGCCUUUCACUGGGCCAGCAUCAGUUGUGACGGUGGGAUAAAGACCUAGGGAAUGUGGCUCUCUUCGGGGAGUGUUAUAGCCUUAGGUGUAAUGCCGCCUGCCACGACUGAGGACCGCGCUUCGGCUAGGAUGCUGGCAUAAUGGUCUUCAGCGACCCGUCUUGAAACACGGACCAAGGAGUCUAACAUCUAUGCGAGUGUUCGGGUGUAAAACCCCUACGCGUAAUGAAAGUGAACGGAGGUGGGAACUCUUCGGAGUGCACCAUCGACCGAUCCUGAUGUCUUCGGAUGGAUUUGAGUAGGAGCAUAGCUGUUGGGACCCGAAAGAUGGUGAACUAUGCCUGAAUAGGGUGAAGCCAGAGGAAACUCUGGUGGAGGCUCGCAGCGGUUCUGACGUGCAAAUCGAUCGUCAAAUUUGGGUAUAGGGGCGAAAGACUAAUCGAACCAUCUAGUAGCUGGUUCCUGCGAGUUUUC
rnacentral:rRNA from 1 species